UACGAAGGGGGGCUAGCGUUGCUCGGAAUCACUGGGCGUAAAGGGUGCGUAGGCGGGUCUUUAAGUCAGGGGUGAAAUCCUGGAGCUCAACUCCAGAACUGCCUUUGAUACUGGCGAUCUUGAGUCCGGGGAGAGGUGAGUGGAACUGCGAGUGUAGAGGUGAAAUUCGUAGAUAUUCGCAAGAACACCAGUGGCGAAGGCGGCUCACUGGCCCGGUAUGACGC
rnacentral:rRNA from 1 species